rnacentral:rRNA from 1 species
AACGAACGCUGGCGGCAUGCCUAACACAUGCAAGUCGAACGAGACCUUCGGGUCUAGUGGCGCACGGGUGCGUAACGCGUGGGAACCUGCCCUUAGGUUCGGAAUAACUCCCCGAAAGGGGUGCUAAUACCGGAUAAUGUCUUCGGACCAAAGAUUUAUCGCCUUUGGAUGGGCCCGCGUUGGAUUAGCUAGUUGGUAGGGUAAAAGCCUAUCAAGGCGACGAUCCAUAGCUGGUCUGAGAGGAUGAUCAGCCACACUGGGACUGAGACACGGCCCAGACUCCUACGGGAGGCAGCAGUGGGGAAUAUUGGACGAUGGGCGAAAGCCUGAUCCAGCAAUGCCGCGUGAGUGAUGAAGGCCUUAGGGUUGUAAAGCUCUUUUACCCGGGAUGAUAAUGACAGUACCGGGAGAAUAAGCUCCGGCUAACUCCGUG